AAAAGACUUAGUCCUAACCUUACCGUUAGUUCUUACCAGAAUUAUACAUGCAAGUAUCCGCAUCCCAGUGUAAAUGCCCUCAGCCCCUUACUAAGGCAAGAGGAGCGNGCAUCAGGCUCACCAUUCGUAGCCCAAAACGCCUUGCUUAGCCACACCCCCACGGGUCAUCAGCAGUAAUUAACAUUAAGCAAUAAGUGUAAACUUGACUUAAUCAUGGUAACAACAGGGCUGGUAAAUCUUGUGCCAGCCACCGCGGUCACACAAGAAGCCCAAAUUAACCGUAUACGGCGUAAAGAGUGGCCUAACAAUAUCGUCUAUAGCUGAAGUGAAAGUGCGCCUAAGCUGUCAUAAGCUCAAGGCCCAUCUAAACUCACCAUUAAUAUAACCUCAGAUUCCAAGACNGACCAACUCAAUCCACGAAAGCCGGGAGACAAACUGGGAUUAGAUACCCCACUAUGCUCGGCCAUAAAUCUAGAUGCUUUCACCACCAAAGCACCCGCCAGGNAACUACGAGCACAAACGCUUAANACCCUAAGGACUUGGCGGUGUCCCAAACCCACCUAGAGGAGCCUGUUCUAUAAUCGAUAAUCCGCGCUACACCCGACCCUUUCUCGCCCAACCAGCCUAUAUACCGCCGUCGCCAGCUCACCUCCACCUGAGAGCUCCACAGUGAGCACAAUAGCCUUACCCACUAAAAAGACAGGUCAAGGUAUAGCCAAUGAAGGGGAAGAAAUGGGCUACAUUUUCUGACCCAGAAAACCAACGAACCAAGGGCUGAAACUGGCCCUUAGAAGGCGGAUUUAGCAGUAAAACACGACCACAAUGCUUGUUUUAAGUUGGCCCUGGGACACGUACAUACCGCCCGUCACCCUCCUCACAAGCAACCCCCCCCCACCACAACCUAUUACCCAUUAAAGCUGAAGAUGAGGUAAGUCGUAACAAGGUAAGUGUACCGGAAGGUGCACUUAGCAUAA
rnacentral:ncRNA from 1 species